GCGGUUCGUAUCCCGACGUGGCGUCGGUGGUUGAUGCAGCCAGCCGACAUUUUCUCGACUGGUAAUGACUGCUUCACAUGCCUUCUCGAGCGUCACAGCCAGCUUUCCACGUCCAGGCUGACUCGUGGCGGACAAGGGAAACCAAGGAAACACGCUUUCAUCGGUCAAGGACUUCCAGAAAGGCUUUAACCAGACAUGGAAUUUGGAACCUCGGCAUUUUGGCGCCCACCGCAUUUCGCAGAUGUGCACAUGCCGCGAGAGCAACUCGUCUGGGAGCCUGCAUCCGCACUUUAUGCAUCAAGACGAAGUCAUAUGACGGACCAAGGAAAGACAGCAAACAAGUUUUAAUUGGACAAGGACUGCCACAGAGGCUUUAUCCAAGCAUGGACUUUGAAAUCUGACACCAACCACAUCUCUUGCAUGUGGGCAUGCUGCGAAAGAAACUGGUCAUGGUGGCUAAAUGAACGCUUUCUGGAAAACGGAAAGACUCGUAUUUCAAGACGAUCACGUUGAGCGCGCGUAACAUCUGUUUUGACAGUAUAGUAUUUCCUGCAACGGCCACAGACAAGUGCUUCCGUGCUUCUUUUUAGACUUUUAGACAUGACGUGCCCGCAAAUGCGCAGCCGAAGUUUUAAAACCUGCGUGCCAUCAACGUUCUGUUUCGGCACACAGCAGAGGCCACACAUUAAAUUUGAAAUAAAAAUAUGCUGCCUCUUU